rnacentral:lncRNA from 1 species
AGAAUCCUACCUGGUUUCCCAGCUACAUUCUUGUGAGGUGGCUGACUUGGCAGAUACAAACUGUGAGAAGAAAUCACUCCUCCUAAAUGCUGUUGGAACUGAAAAUCAACCUAUGGCCUAUUCAGCACAUGUAUUUUUACAUGCACAUAGAGAAUUGUACCUCAUUUCACAGCUACAUUUUUGUGAGGUGGCUGACUUGGCAGAUAAAAACUGUGAGAAGAGAUCACUCCUCCUAAAUGCUGUUGGAACUGAAAAUCAACCUAUGGAAUCCUACCUGGUUUCCCAGCUACAUUCUUGUGAGGUGGCUGACUUGGCAGAUACAAAUUGUGAGAAGAGAUCACUCCUCCUAAAUGCUGUUGGAACUGAAAAUCAACCUAUGGGUGAGCUUCCUACUUGAACAACAUGAUACAUAAAUCCAUGUUCAGUCAAAUAAAUAUUUU